rnacentral:rRNA from 1 species
CAACUUGCCCUGAAGCGGGGGACAACAACUCGAAAGAGUUGCUAAUACCGCAUGUGAAUCGCUCUGGCAUCAGAGAGGAUUCAAAGCCUUCGGGCACUUCAGGAUGGGCCCGCGGCCUAUCAGCUUGUUGGUGAGGUAACGGCCCACCAAGGCGACGACGGGUAGCUGGUCUGAGAGGACGAUCAGCCACACUGGGACUGAGACACGGCCCAG